rnacentral:rRNA from 1 species
AUUGAACGCUGGCGGCAUGCUUUACACAUGCAAGUCGAACGGUAACAGGCCUUCGGGUGCUGACGAGUGGCGAACGGGUGAGUAAUGCAUCGGAACGUACCCAGAGGUGGGGGAUAACGCAGCGAAAGCUGUGCUAAUACCGCAUGUGAUCUGAGGAUGAAAGCGGGGGACCGAGCAGCAAUGUUUGGCCUUGCGCCUUUGGAGCGGCCGAUGUCGGAUUAGCUAGUUGGUGGGGUAAAGGCCUACCAAGGCGACGAUCCGUAGCUGGUCUGAGAGGACGACCAGCCACACUGGGACUGAGACACGGCCCAGACUCCUACGGGAGGCAGCAGUGGGGAAUUUUGGACAAAGGGCGCAAGCCUGAUCCAGCAAUGCCGCGUGCGGGAAGAAGGCCUUCGGGUUGUAAACCGCUUUUGGCAGGAACGAAACGGUGUCCGCUAAUACCGGGCGCUAAUGACGGUACCUGCAGAAUAAGCACCGGCUAACUACGUG